rnacentral:lncRNA from 1 species
CUUUUGGAAGAGUCUUGUCUGAACUUUUCCUUUAACAAUGUAUUGUUGGGAAUGUGCAGGAGUUAGGGAUAAUAGAGGCUCUGGAGAUCUCCUGGAGUCAGAGGCUGGAUGCAGCUUGGGACCCUCUACAGUUGGAUUCUCUCCGCUCUAGUUUCUCCUUUCCAUGUUUUUCUUUUCUUGGUGUCAUCUUGUUUAUUUUUAUCUUUUUUUUGUAUAAUUUUGUUCAUUAAUGAAUUUUUUUCUUUAAUUUUUUAUUCUCUCUUAUGUGUUUAUGUUUACUAAUAUGUGUUUAUCUUUUUUAUCAUGACAAACCGGGGAGAAAAU